rnacentral:rRNA from 1 species
CACCGCCCGUCGCUACUACCGAUUGAAUGGCUCAGUGAGGCGUCCGGACUGGCCCAGAGAGGUGGGCAACUACCACUCAGGGCCGGAAAGCUCUCCAAACUCGGUCAUUUAGAGGAAGUAAAAGUCGUAACAAGGUCUCCGUUGGUGAACCAGCGGAGGGAUCAUUA